ensembl:miRNA MIR103B2 microRNA 103b-2
UCAUAGCCCUGUACAAUGCUGCUUGACCUGAAUGCUACAAGGCAGCACUGUAAAGAAGCUGA